rnacentral:rRNA from 1 species
UGCCAGUGGUGAUAUGCUUAGAUAAAAGAUUAAGCCAUGCAUGUCUAUGAACAUACUGGUAAUAGUGAAUCUGCGAAUGGCUCAUUAAAACAGCUAUAAUCUACUCGAUCUUGUAUUCUAAACGGAUAACUGCGCUAAUUUUGGAGCUAAUACGUGCAACAAUGUCCUGACUAACGGAGGGGCGCACUUAUUAGACUAAGACCGAUCGGGCUUGCCCGUCUUGGUGACUCUGAAUAAUUUAGCGGAUCGCAUGGUCUUGUACCGGCGACGUAUCGUUCGAGUAUCUGCCUUAUCAACUUUCGAUGGAAGUCUAUGUGACUACCAUGGUUGUAACGGGUAACGGAGAAUAAGGGUUCGACUCCGGAGAGGGAGCCUGAGAAACGGCUACCACAUCCAAGGAAGGCAGCAGGCGCGUAAAUUACCCACUCUCAAUGCGAGGAGGUAGUAACUAUCAAUAACGAGACAGAUCUCUAUGAGGCCUGUUAUCGGAAUGGGUACAAUUUAAACCCUUUAACGAGGAUCUAUGAGAGGGCAAGUCUGGUGCCAGCAGCCGCGGUAAUUCCAGCUCUCAAGGUGUAUAUCGUCCUUGCUGCGGUUAAAAAGCUCGUAGUUGGAUCUGAGUCUGUGGGCAUGGUACACCUAGUGUGCAACUGUGUCCCGGACUGAAUUGUUGGUUUUCUGUGGCGAUCUUCAUCGGUUGUCAUAGUGGCUGACGAGUUUACCUUGAAUAAAUCAGAGUGCUCAAUACAGGCGUUUCGCUUGAAUAUUCGUGCAUGGAAUAAUGGAACAGGACUUCGGUUCGUUCUAUUGGUCUCAGAACCGAUGUAAUGGUUAAGAGGGACAGACGGGGGCAUCCGUAUCGCUGCGUGAGAGGUGAAAUUCUUGGACCGCAGCGGGACGUCCAACUGCGAAAGCAUUUGCCAAGAAUGUCUUCAUUAAUCAAGAACGAAAGUCAGAGGAUCGAAGGCGAUUAGAUACCGCCCUAGUUCUGACCGUAAACGAUGCCAACUAGCGAUCAGGUGGUGGUAUUGUUAGCCCUGCCUGGGAGCUUCCCGGAAACGAAAGUCUUCGGGUUCCGGGGGUAGUAUGGUUUGCAAAGCUGAAACUUAA